rnacentral:rRNA from 1 species
GAACGCUAGCGGCAGGCUUAACACAUGCAAGUCAGGGGCAGCAUAACAUUGCUUGCAAUGUUUGAUGGCGACCGGCGCACGGGUGCGUAACGCGUAUGCAACUACCAUAACAGGGGGAUAACACUGAGAAAUUGGUACUAAUACCCCGUAAUAUUAUGAAAGGCAUCUUUUAUAGUUGAAAGUUCCGGCGGUUAUGGAUGGGCAUGCGUUGUAUUAGCUAGUUGGUGAGGUAACGGCUCACCAAGGCGACGAUACAUAGGGGGACUGAGAGGUUAACCCCCCACAUUGGUACUGAGACACGGACCAAACUCCUACGGGAGGCAGCAGUGAGGAAUAUUGGUCAAUGGACGCAAGUCUGAACCAGCCAUGCCGCGUGCAGGAUGACGGCUCUAUGAGUUGUAAACUGCUUUUGUAUGAGGGUAAAAUUGGGUACGUGUACCUAACUGCAAGUAUCAUACGAAUAAGGAUCGGCUAACUCCGUG